CUUCUGAGCUUGGUUUUGUCACACUAGACAUAUCAAGAUGAGCUCCCAGACACAGCUACUCUGGCUCCUCAUCCUCUGCAUUCGGGACUCCAGCGGGCAGAUUGUGCUGACUCAGACUCCAGAAUCCCUGGCAGUGUCUCCAGGAGACAGAGUCACCAUCAACUGCAAAGCCAGUUCCAGUGUUAGCUACAUGGCCUGGUACCAACAGAAAUCAGGACAGGCUCCUAAGCUCCUUAUCUACAGCGCUUCCACUCGUCCCUCUGGGAUCCCAGACCGGUUCAGUGGCAGUGGGUCUGGCACAGACUUCACUUUUACAAUCAGCCGGGUGGAAGCAGAUGAUGCUGGAGAUUAUUACUGCCAGGGUAGUAGCUCUCACACAGUGAUACAGACCAAGUUUGAGAUAACCAUGCUGUGGCUGGUCAGCAACGUCAGCUCCAAACAUCCCAAAGGAGAAUCUGCUCAAGGUUUCUACAGACAGGAGCGAAAACCAGACUGA